rnacentral:rRNA from 1 species
AUUGAACGCUGGCGGCAGGCCUAACACAUGCAAGUCGAGCGGAGCGGCGGACGGGGGAGUAAUGCCUAGGAAUAUGCAUGGUAGUGGGGGAUAAGGUCAGGAAACGGGAGCUAAUACCGCAUACUAUCAGAUGAGCCUAGGUCGUAUUAGCUAGUUGGUGGGGUAAAGGCCUACCCAGGCGACGAUCCGUAACUGGUCUGAGAGGAUGAUCAGUCACACUGGAACUGAGACACGGUCCAGACUCCUACGGGAGGCAGCAGUGGGGAAUAUUGGACAAUGGGCGAAAGCCUGAUCCAGCCAUGCCGCGUGUGUGAAGAAGGUCUUCGGAUUGUAAAGUACUUUAAGUUGGGAGGCGUUACCAACAGAAUAAGCACCGGCUAACUUCGUGCCAGCAGCCGCGGUAAUAC